GGGGGCGUGGCGAAAUGGCAUACGCAAGCGACUUAAAAUCGCUCGCCGCAAGGCAUGCGGGUUCAAGUCCCGCCGCCCCCA
rnacentral:tRNA from 1 species